GUGCACGCUGGCGGUAGGCCUAACACAUGCAAGUCGAACGGCAGCACAGUAAGAGCUUGCUCUUACGGGUGGCGAGUGGCGGACGGGUGAGGAAUACAUCGGAAUCUACUUUUUCGUGGGGGAUAACGUAGGGAAACUUACGCUAAUACCGCAUACGACCUACGGGUGAAAGCAGGGGAUCUUCGGACCUUGCGCGAUUGAAUGAGCCGAUGUCGGAUUAGCUAGUUGACGGGGUAAAGGCCCACCAAGGCGACGAUCCGUAGCUGGUCUGAGAGGAUGAUCAGCCACACUGGAACUGAGACACGGUCCAGACUCCUACGGGAGGCAGCAGUGGGGAAUAUUGGACAAUGGGCGCAAGCCUGAUCCAGCCAUACCGCGUGGGUGAAGAAGGCCUUCGGGUUGUAAAGCCCUUUUGUUGGGAAAGAAAAGCAGCAGGUUAAUACCCCGCUGUUCUGACGGUACCCAAAGAAUAAGCACCGGCUAACUUCGUG
rnacentral:rRNA from 1 species